rnacentral:rRNA from 1 species
UACAGAGGGGGCAAGCGUUGUUCGGAAUUACUGGGCGUAAAGGGCGCGUAGGCGGCCUGCUAAGUCGAACGUGAAAUCCCCGGGCUCAACCCGGGAACUGCGUCCGAUACUGGCAGGCUUGAAUCCGGGAGAGGAAUGUGGAAUUCCAGGUGUAGCGGUGAAAUGCGUAGAUAUUGGAAAGAACACCGAUGGCGAAGGCACUCUACUGGGCUAUUACUGACACUCAGAGACGAAAGCUAGGGGAGCAAAUGGG